CUAAAAAGUAAAAAAUGACAAUAAGUGUUAUGUAUCAGUGAAAGCUAUAGAAAAAGGACAACUAAAGGAAGAUUCUUGAAAUGGAGAUACGUACUUGUCUUUGGGUUACCAAGCAUCAAUGCAAACUAGAGGCCCAAAAUGCAUUGUAACCCGCACCUGUCAAAUCUAACAAACCACACGAACUUCCCCACCGCCUUCCACCUUGAACGCGUGUGAAUGCAAGCUUCAAUGUUACUCAUCCACUUAACAGGUGAAAUACCAGAGUUAGGG
rnacentral:sRNA from 1 species